AUUGAACGCUGGCGGCAGGCCUAACACAUGCAAGUCGGACGGUAGCACAGAGGAGCUUGCUCCUCGGGUGACGAGUGGCGGACGGGUGAGUAAUGUCUGGGGAUCUGCCCGAUAGAGGGGGAUAACCACUGGAAACGGUGGCUAAUACCGCAUAACGUCGCAAGACCAAAGAGGGGGACCUUCGGGCCUCUCACUAUCGGAUGAACCCAGAUGGGAUUAGCUAGUAGGCGGGGUAACGGCCCACCUAGGCGACGAUCCCUAGCUGGUCUGAGAGGAUGACAAGCCACACUGGAACUGAGACACGGUCCAGACUCCUACGGGAGGCAGCAGUGGGGAAUAUUGCACAAUGGGCGCAAGCCUGAUGCAGCCAUGCCGCGUGUAUGAAGAAGGCCUUCGGGUUGUAAAGUACUUCCAGCGGGGAGGAAGGCGAUGUGGUUAAUAACCGCGUCGAUUGACGUUACCCGCAGAAGAAGCACCGGCUAACUCCGUGCCAGCCGCCGCCGUAA
rnacentral:rRNA from 1 species